GCUCUCAUUUCUGGCAGGCAAUUGAGCACUCUGCUUCAUAUGCAAAAUCGAGGGUACAUUCUGAUGUAGAUUUCAGAUAGCGGGAAAUGAAGGUAUUUUGUUUUUCUUUUAAAUUGCAUUGGGCAAUUUCCUUUCUUAUAUGAAACGCUGUAGGCUUUGUACAAUUAUUUUAUACGUUAUUACCAUUCUUCUAAAAAGGGACAGCUUUUUUCUUUCCAAUUUAAAGUAGUGGAUAAUGACUUUGGCAGCAUUUUCCUGCCUUUUUCAAGUUUAUGGAACCCAUUCCUCAUCAUUAGGCUGAAGAUGCAGAUAAGAAAGGACGAGCCUUUUUCUGGAGCUUGUCACAUCAAUGUUGCUUCUUAGGUGAUUAAAAAGAAAGCAGCGAGGAUCUUGGAGAAAACGUCUGACAAAAGAAGGAGACAUGCAUACAAGGAGAAUGCCAGGUGAACGUGAAGACCAUCAUUUGCAAGCCAAGAGAGGCCUGGAGCAGAUCCUUCAGAGCCCUCAGAAGGGACCAACCCUGCUGGCACCUUGAUUUUGGACUUCCAGCCUCCAGAACUAAGAACUUGAUGUAUACCUCCUGACCUGUUCAUCUUGUAGCUGCCUCUUGACAGGUUGCUGACUUCGCCUGGAGGGACUCUAUCAGGAGCUCAACUUGUUUUUUUGUUUUUUGUUUUGUUUUGUUUUUUGAGAUGGAAUCUCCCUCUGUCAUCCCGGCUGGAGUGCAAUGGUGCGUUCUUGGCUCACUGCAACCUCUAUCUCGCAGGCUCAAGUAAUCCUCCCACUUCAGCCUAUUGAGUAACUGGGACCACAGGUGCACACCAUCAUGCCAGGAGAAACAAAUGCCAAACAGUGAAGGUCAAGAAGGCCAUAGUGAUAUAUGCAAGUUCAAAAAGUGGAAGAAGCUUUUACACAGAGAAAUAUCAAUCAGCCAGCUUUUCAUGGCUGAUGCCUGAAAAUAUCAUCCACCUGUGUCUCUGAGCAUACUUUGGCUUUGACUCCUAGUGAUAUUACAUGUAAUGUCAUGGCUAGAUAUUUCAAUUUCAGAAACAAAUGAUUCCACUGAAUAGUAAGACAUUUGCCAACUGGACAAUAAUUCAUAAGGAGAGGGUUCAGAAACUGUAAGUUUUAUUAUGAAAAGGUAAGGAAAUCCAACCCUAGAUGGAGGUAACUUGGAAAGAAUGAUUGGUUAUUUUGUAUAACUCUAAAGGGCAUAACUAGGACUAACAAGUCAAAGCUUUCAGGAAGAAAAUUUCUAUAUAAUGUGCAGAAAUUUCAAACAGUUGAUCAGUUGCUUUUGUUAUUAUUGUUAGAGACAGGAUCUCACUAUGUUGCCCAGGCUUGAUUCUAACCUCCCCCACUGCCAACCCCCCGGCUCAAGCAAUCCUACUGCCUUAGCCUCUUGAGUAGCUGGGACUACGGGCACACACACACACACCACUGCACCAGGUAAAUUUCUAACAACUCAAAGUGUUAUAAAGGAAUAGGUCGCCUAGUAGCAUGGUCAGCGGUGUCUGUAAGACUUCUCGUCAGUCAGGCUGCGGUAUGGGAUUGAAGUGGAAGAUCACUAAGAAAUGGAGGGAAUGAAUUUCAGAAUGGGUGGGGGGUUUCAGGGUGUUGGGUCAAUAGCUGUCUUAUCAAUGGAGCUGAGAAUGAAAACCUAGGAAAAGUGACACUGGCUCUAGAAGGGAACUGGGCCAUCUGCCUUAUAGACCAUCUGCUAAUUUGUUGCUCAUUUAUUGGUGAAACUUGGGAAGGUAAUGGAUAUGUAUGAGCUCUCUCAGAACUUGCCUUGUUGCCUAAUGGAUAUCUUUGACUUUUCCAACUCCAAGUAUCUGUAAAAGUUCCUAAUUUCCUCAUAGACUUGUAAAACCACUCAAACCCACCAGGCCCUUAUUCUGUUUCCAAGAUCACCUUUCAGGUGUCACCGUGUUGACAAGUUAUUUGGAGCUCUAUUGACCUUGUCUCAUUAUUGGAACUUUUCUAAUAUCUUGAAUGCAGAUGGAAGGAAAGGAGACAAUAACAACAAAAAAUAAAACUGCAACAGCAUGAUUUAUUAUAGUAUAUAUUUCUCAGAAGAGACAAAAACAGCAUCAAUGAAGAGCAAUCAUAGAAGGUUCACAGUUGCCUCAGAACCAAUUCAACAAUUCAUAGGGGGUUGGCAUCACAUAAACAGCUGGGAAAAAGCAGUUAAAUGAUUUUCUACAUGCUCUUAGGGAGAGACUGUGUCUAAUCUGAUGCAGUUGCUCCAAAGGAGCGCAGCUAAUGACAUCUAC
ensembl:lncRNA novel transcript